GGCCAAUUUAAGUUAAUUUUGGACCAACUUCAAGAGAUUGUGACGGGCAACGAUUAUAUAGGUGUUGUAGAGGAGACAAUGGCGCAUCGUUUAGGAAAAUCUCCAGAGUGGUUUAUGUUCGAAAAUCUGAAGUUACGGUUAAAAAACUGAAAUUGUGAAAUUGACAAAAUGAGAUUUGGGGGUUAGGCCAAUUUAAGUUAAUUUUGGACCAACUUCAAGAGAUUGUGACGGGCAACGAUUAUAUAGGUGUUGUAGAGGAGACAAUGGCGCAUCGUUUAGGAAAAUCUCCAGAGUGGUUUAUGUUCGAAAAUCUGAAGUUACGGUUAAAAAACUGAAAAUUUUAUUGUGAAAUUGACAAAAUGAGAUUAGGGGGGUGAGGCACUAAUAGAAAAAUUUGGACCAUUUUAAAGAGAUUGUGACGGGCAACGACUAUAUAGGUGUUGUAGAGGAGACAUUGGCGCAUCGUGUAAGAAAAUCUCCAGAGUGGUUUAUGUUCAAAAAUCUGAAGUUACGGUUAAAAAACUGAAAAUUUUAUUGUGAAAUUGACAAAAUGAGAUUAGGGGGGUAGGGCACUAAUAGAAAAAUUUGGACCAUUUUAAAGAGAUUGUGACGGGCAACGACUAUAUAGGUGUUGUAGAGGAGACAAUGGCGCAUCGUUUAAGAAAAUCUCCAGAGUGGUUUAUGUUCGAAAAUCUGAAGUUACGGUUAAAAAACUGAAAUUGUGAAAUUGACAAAAUGAGAUUAAGGGGUUAGGCCAAUUUAAGUUAAUUUUGGACCAACUUCAAGAGAUUGUGACGGGCAACGACUAUAUAGGUGUUGUAGAGGAGACAUUGGCGCAUCGUUUAAGAAAAUCUCCAGAGUGGUUUAUGUUCGAAAAUCUGAAGUUACGGUUAAAAAACUGAAAUUGUGAAAUUGACAAAAUGAGAUUAAGGGGGUAGGCAAAUUUAAGUUAAUUUUGUACCAAUUUCAAGAGAUUGUGACGGGCAACGACUAUAUAUAAGUGUUGUAGAGGAGACAUUGGCGCAUCGUUUAGGAAAAUCUCCAGAAUGGUUUAUGUUCGAAAAUCUGAAGUUACGGUUAAAAAACUGAAAAUUUUAUUGUGAAAUUGACAAAAUGAGAUUAGGGGGGUGAGGCACUAAUAGAAAAAUUUGGACCAUUUUAAAGAGAUUGUGACGGGCAACGACUAUAUAGGUGUUGUAGAGGAGACAUUGGCGCAUCGUGUAAGAAAAUCUCCAGAGUGGUUUAUGUUCAAAAAUCUGAAGUUACGGUUAAAAAACUGAAAAUUUUAUUGUGAAAUUGACAAAAUGAGAUUAGGGGGGUAGGGCACUAAUAGAAAAAUUUGGACCAUUUUAAAGAGAUUGUGACGGGCAACGACUAUAUAGGUGUUGUAGAGGAGACAUUGGCGCAUCGUUUAAGAAAAUCUCCAGAGUGGUUUAUGUUCGAAAAUCUGAAGUUACGGUUAAAAAACUGAAAUUGUGAAAUUGACAAAAUGAGAUUAAGGGGGUAGGCAAAUUUAAGUUAAUUUUGUACCAAUUUCAAGAGAUUGUGACGGGCAAC